rnacentral:rRNA from 1 species
UACGUAGGUGGCAAGCGUUGUCCGGAUUUACUGGGCGUAAAGGGCGUGUAGGCGGUUUGUUAAGUCUAGGGUGAAAGCUCCCGGCUCAACUGGGAGAGGUCCUUGGAUACUGGCGGACUUGAGGGAGGCAGAGGAAAGUGGAAUUCCCGGUGUAGUGGUGAUAUGCGUAGAUAUCGGGAGGAACACCAGUGGCGAAGGCGGCUUUCUGGGCCGGUCCUGACGCUGAGACGCGAAAGCGUGGGGAGCGAACCGG